AACGAACGCUGGCGGCAUGCCUAGCACAUGCAAGUCGAACGGGAUCCUGGCUUCGGUCAGGUGAGAGUGGCGGACGGGUGAGUAACACGUGGGAACCUGCCCAUUGGUCUGGGAUAACCGCGGGAAACUGCGGCUAAUACCGGAUGUACCCGUGAGGGGAAAGAUUUAUCGCCGAUGGAGGGGCCCGCGUCCGAUUAGGUAGUUGGUGGGGUAAAGGCCUACCAAGCCGACGAUCGGUAGCUGGUCUGAGAGGAUGAUCAGCCACACUGGGACUGAGAUACGGCCCAGACUCCUACGGGAGGCAGCAGUGGGGAAUAUUGGACAAUGGGGGCAACCCUGAUCCAGCAAUGCCGCGUGAGUGAUGAAGGCCUUAGGGUUGUAAAGCUCUUUUGCCAGGGAAGAUGAUGACGGCACCUGGAGAAUAAGCCCCGGCUAACUUCGUGCCAGCAGCCGCGGUAAUACGAAGGGGCUAGCGUUGUUCGGAAUUACUGGGCGUAAAGGGCGCGUAGGCGGCCAUUUAAGUUAGGUGUGAAAGUCCUGGGCUCAACCUGGGGACUGCACUUAAUACUGGGUGGCUUGAAUUCGGGAGAGGAUAGCGGAAUUCCCCAGUGUAGAGGUGAAAUUCGUAGAUAUUGGGAAGAACACCGGUGGCGAAGGCGGCUAUCUGGACCGACAUUUGACGCUGAGGCGCGAAAGCGUGGGGA
rnacentral:rRNA from 1 species